rnacentral:rRNA from 1 species
UGCAUAUCGGUAAGCGGAGGAAAAGAAACCAACAGGGAUUGCCUUAGUAGCGGCGAGUGAAGCGGCAAAAGCUCAAAUUUGAAAUCUGGCGCCUUCGGUGUCCGAGUUGUAAUUUGAAGAUUGUAACCUUGGGGUUGGCUCUUGUCUAUGUUUCUUGGAACAGGACGUCACAGAGGGUGAGAAUCCCGUGCGAUGAGAUGCCCAAUUCUAUGUAAGGUGCUUUCGAAGAGUCGAGUUGUUUGGGAAUGCAGCUCUAAGUGGGUGGUAAAUUCCAUCUAAAGCUAAAUAUUGGCGAGAGACCGAUAGCGAACAAGUACAGUGAUGGAAAGAUGAAAAGAACUUUGAAAAGAGAGUGAAAAAGUACGUGAAAUUGUUGAAAGGGAAGGGUUUGAGAUCAGACUCGAUAUUUUGUGAGCCUUGCCUUCGUGGCGGGGUGACCCGCAGCUUAUCGGGCCAGCAUCGGUUUGGGCGGUAGGAUAAUGGCGUAGGAAUGUGACUUUACUUCGGUGAAGUGUUAUAGCCUGCGUUGAUGCUGCCUGCCUAGACCGAGGACUGCGAUUUUAUCAAGGAUGCUGGCAUAAUGAUCCCAAACCGCCCGUCUUGAAACACGGACCCAAA